AACGCACCUUGCGCCCCUUGGAUAUUCCGAAGGGCAUGCCUGUUUGAGUAUCAUGAACACCUCAACUCUCAUGGUUUGCCAUGAUGAGCUUGGACUUUGGGGGUUCUGCUGGCCCAUGGUCGGCUCCCCUUAAAUGGAUCAGCUUGCCAGUGUUUUGGUGGGAUCCCAGGUGUGAUAACUAUCUACGCUUGUGGCUUUCCGUCAAGCAACCUUCAGCAAUGAGGGUUCGCUGGGGCUCAUAAACGUCUCUCUUGUGGAGACAGGUUUUUGAAGUUUGAUCUCAAAUCAGGUAGGACUACCCGCUGAACUUAA
rnacentral:misc_RNA from 1 species